UGUGCAGAUGUGUUAUUCUCCUUUUAGAUUUUCGUCUGGAAAAUCAUUGAGCUGCAUGCAUGUAGCAUAUGUGACAGAUUAUUUUCAGAGCCAUACACCUCUUCCACAUGUUCUGCUGGUUGAUAUUGUCGUAUGCCAUUUUUCCUUUUAUAAUAAUUAUGGUUUGGGCAUAUGCCAUUUUUCCUUUAUUAUAAUAAUUAAAAUAGCUGCCUCAUUCUCAAACUUCUCUUUGUUCAGGCACUUAAAGAAGCCAUUGAGGUCUUCUGCAAUAAGGGUGUCUCUGGUAGUUCGAGUGAUGAGUUACUCGUCACCUUCUGUGACAAUAUUUUGAAGAUAGGCUUCGGUGAAAAGUUUGCAGAUUCUGAUCACCUGCCUCUUGUUACUGAAGCUCGAGGGGAGAGGUUCAUCUUUCUGACUUUUGGCGCCCUACCGGGCCUCUUCACCGGCUCGCCAUCCUCACUGCAUUGUCGCCUAUGUCUCCUGCUGCUUCUCCUACACCGCCAGAAACAAGCGAAGGAUAAUAUCAUAGCCUCCUAUGGCCACGAAAAGACCAUGAUAACAAACACUAUUUUCUAAAAAGUGCCGAGCCAUGUGUCUCAAAUCUGAAACAUGGUGGAAGAUUUAGGAGCAGGUUUGUAGUCUCUACAAACAUACUCUGAUGCAUAUCUGAAAUUGAAAUUGAAGAAGCCAGUAACAUGUGGUCAUCUGAAGUUUACUUAUAGAAAAUGAACAUUUGCUACUAAUUUCUUUACUUGCUCAAGCUUGCUUGCUAGAUUACUCCAGAUUCUCUUUCCUUUUGUACUCCUCAUGUGCCUAUGCAAAAGGUUGGACGCACGAUAUAUGUGUCCUUUGGUACAUAUAUUCUGUUAAUUGUUUAUAGAUGGAAAUCCUAGGGAUUCUCACUUAGUAUAUUCACUUCCUAAUAAAAAGAUGUAUAGUGAAUAUCCUGUUCAUUGGCUGUUGUUUCAUAAUAAGUUUUUUAACAGAGAUAACUUGGCUAUUCGGCAAACUGUUAAUGAUAACAGAUGUAUGUUAUGUUUCGAGUUUGAAAGUGUGAAUCAUCUAUUUUUUUAAUGUUA